UUUCCUAUAUCAAACAUAAAUGUGAUUCCAUCACUUUAUCAGGUACAGAGAGCUCCUAGUGCUAUUUAUCAAGACAAAAAACCCCUAUAAGGUUCAAAACACAUUUUCCAUGUUAUUAUUGUAACGUCAAUAACAGCAGUAUUGUACAGUAGAGUAUUGUUAGAUGGAAUUUCAAGAAAAAUUAGAUGUUUUUUAUCCCAGAUCAUUCCCUAACUAUUCUUGCUGCAGGGGCACGUGAAACUUUGAAACAUAUGUGUUUUGCUGAAUAAGGAUGCUAAUGGUGCUGUUAGUACUGAUGUGAUGCUAAAAGGUGGUGACAGAGUAUUGCUAGUGAAUAGAAAGUAGACAGGAUAAAAGAAGAUGCCAUGUAACAGGGACUUUGUAUAAAAUGAAAAAUAAAUACCAUGGAAAAUCAUUUGGUUUCUUUCACUUUCUGCCUUCUUUAAGAUAAAAUCAUGUUGACAAAUGACACAAGUCAGCAAAUGCUCACUGUAUACUUUUGAUUUAAAGGAAGAUAGAGAUGAUCCAAUAUGAUCUUCUCACACUUCGUAAAAUCAUUGGGUUGCCUUAUAGAUCAUCAGUACGUGUAAGUGUAUUAGCUACUAUAAUUAUAAGCACUCCCAAGGGUAUCUGACAAUUUGUCUGGAAAGAGGGCACUUUACAUACCAGUGAGACCUCUUUUUGAUGGUUUCAGGCUAUGUGCACAGUCAAAGAGUUUCAGCUAACUGUUUCAGGUGAGGUAUAAACUCAGUUGCUCAUCAAGAAAUGAAGAAUGGCUCUUUCUUAUGUCUCCAAGGCCCUGUAGCUGGUCAUUUACUGGGAGGCUGAUAAAAGGUCAGUACAGAAUACAGCCUGCAGCCAUAAAUGUGAGGAAUAGCAGUGUUAUUGUAAGUGAAAGUGGGUAGUAUAGGUAUCCUCUGCUGUGGGGUAGAGAGAUCCAUGAACCAGCUGGGAAAUAGGGAGAAGAAAAUUCAGGGAGGCCCAUCUAAAAAGGCCCAGGACUGGACAUGUGAAGGAUCUCCUCAAAGGAAG
rnacentral:lncRNA from 1 species